rnacentral:rRNA from 1 species
GGCGAACGCUGGCGGCGUGCCUAAUACAUGCAAGUUGAGCGCUGAAGGUUGGUACUUGUACCGACUGGAUGAGCAGCGAACGGGUGAGUAACGCGUGGGGAAUCUGCCUUUGAGCGGGGGACAACAUUUGGAAACGAAUGCUAAUACCGCAUAAAAACUUUAAACACAAGUUUUAAGUUUGAAAGAUGCAAUUGCAUCACUCAAAGAUGAUCCCGCGUUGUAUUAGCUAGUUGGUGAGGUAAAGGCUCACCAAGGCGAUGAUACAUAGCCGACCUGAGAGGGUGAUUCGCCCAAGUGGGAACGGGGAACGGGCCAAACCCCUACGGGAGGGAGGAGUAGGGAAAUUUUGGCAAAGGACGGAAGGCUGGACGAGCAAAGCCGCGUGAGGGAAGGAGGGUUUCGGAUCGGAAAACCCUGUUGGUAGAGAAGAAAGUUGGUGAGAGUGGAAAGCUCAUCAAGUGACGGUAACUACCCAGAAAGGGACGGCUAACUACGUG